rnacentral:rRNA from 1 species
CCCUUAGAUAUCCUGGGCCGCACGCGCGCUACACUGACAUGUUCAACAAGCCUCCUAGUUCGACAGGAUUUGGGAAAUCUUUGAACGCAUGUCGUGAUAGGGAUAGAUCAUUGCAAUUAUUGAUCUUGAACGAGGAAUUCCUAGUAAACGCGAGUCAUCAGCUCGCAUUGAUUACGUCCCUGCCCUUUGUACACACCGCCCGUCGCACCUACCGAUUGAAUGUUUCGGUGAAGAUUCCGGAUAGGACUUUUUUGAUUUAUUUCAAUUUUGUCUUAAAAGCUAUCUAAACCUCAACAUUUAGAGGAAGGUGAAGUCGUAACA